GCCGGGCGUGGUGGCGGGAGCCUGUAAUCUCAGCUACUUGGGAGGCUGAGGCAGGAGAAUCACUUGAACCUGGGAGGUGGAGGUUGCAGUGAGCCAACUGUGCCACUGCACUCCAACCUGGGUGACAGAGUGAGAUUCUGUCUCAA
rnacentral:SRP_RNA from 1 species